rnacentral:rRNA from 1 species
GACGAACGCUGGCGGCGUGCUUAACACAUGCAAGUCGAACGGAAAGGCCCUGCUUUUGUGGGGUGCUCGAGUGGCGAACGGGUGAGUAACACGGGAGUAACCUGCCCUUUACUUUGGGAUAACUUCAGGAAACUGGGGCUAAUGCCGGAUAGGAGCUCCUGCGGCAUGGUGGGGGUUGGAAAGUUUCGGCGGUUGGGGAUGGCCUCGCGGCUUAUCAGUUUGUUGGUGGGGUAGUGGCUUACCAAGGCUUUGACGGGUAGCCGGCCUGAGAGGGUGACCGGCGACAUUGGGACUGAGAGACGGCGCAGCCUCCAACUGGAGGCAGCCGCGGGGAAUAUUAUACAGUGGGCGGAAGCGUGAUGCGGCAACGCCGCGUGCGGGAUGACGGCUUUCGGGUUGGAAACCGCUUUCACUUCUGACCACGCCCGCGUGAAGUUAAUGGAUAAAGAAGAACCGGCUAACUACGUG